rnacentral:lncRNA from 1 species
CUUCUAUCUCCUGCCUCCGCCUAGGAAUGCCAGGAUUACACGUGUGUAAAAUUUAAUUGAACAGCUGUCAACCCUUCGUCACAGGUCCCUGAACAAUCAUCACAGUCACAUCUUAGCAGCAGCAUGCUUCAGUGACAUCCUAAGACAACUAUUAUAAUUGUUUGUUUGCUUGCUUAUUUUUUCCAGACCCGGUUUCACUGUGUAUCCCUGGCUGUCCUGGAAAUUGCCCUAUAUACCAAGCUGGGCUGGAACUCAAAGAUUCGCCUGCCUCUGUCUCCCGAAUGCUGGGAUUAAAGGCCAGGAGAGAUGGCUCAACAGUUAAGAGCAUAUACUGCUCUUCAGAAGACCAAAGCUCAGUUCCCAGCAUCCACAUGCCAGUUUACAAACACCUGUAACUUCAACUCCAAGGGAUCUGAACCCCUCUCCUGGCUUCCUUAGACACCAGUACUCACAGUUGCACAAAUGUACACAUGUAUAAAACUUCUGUGGAAUAUCAGGAACCCGGAAAGUCUGCAUCAGAAGGAAGCUCCCACAGGCUAACUGACUGUGAUCCUCCCCCCUGGCCAGCCAACUCUCAGAUUUCCUUCCCAGAGAUGUCUUCACUCCAGACAGCAUCUUCCCCUGGGCUGAGUGUGAAGUCGGCAGGACAGAGGAUAUGAUGGUCCAAGCCAGGGAGAGGACUGUAUACAGAUCCCGGGUGCCACGACAGACUCUUUAUGACGUUCUGCACUUACUGAGGAAGCCAGGACAACCCCAGCAGAGUUGGAGAAACUGAGGCCAAAGGGUUCAGUGACUUCCCAAGGUUACAGAGCUGACCAGAGCCGGCUGGAGCUCAUAUUUCAGCCCAGGAUGAUGGGAUUCUGAACUGAGCACGAUGACCCAUACCUGUAAUCCCAGCACUCAGGAAGUUGAGGCCAGAGGAUUUUCAUGAGCUGGAGGCCAGCCUGGGAUACAUAUGGAGGCUGCUCUAUGCUACAGAGACCUUGAUACAAUCAAAUAAAGCAAAGCAAAUGAGCC